rnacentral:sRNA from 1 species
AGGCCGAGCCGAAGGGCUCACAGAACAUUUCCUGCCUAUUGCUCACACUCUGUUGUCCACAGCAUACCCGCACCCUAGAUGGCUGACUCUUGUCUUCUGUUUGUGAAACUGCACAACAUCACGAUAUCUUCAAGGCCACAGGAUAGAGAUAACCCUCUUUUUGGUGUAUGCAUUUAGCUCUUUAUUUUCCAUGUCUGAGCCUGUGGUCUAUCUCUCGAGGCUGUGCCUGAGGGAG